rnacentral:rRNA from 1 species
ACACAUGCAAGUCGAACGAUGAACCACUUCGGUGGGGAUUAGUGGCGAACGGGUGAGUAACACGUGGGCAAUCUGCCCUGCACUCUGGGACAAGCCCUGGAAACGGGGUCUAAUACCGGAUACUGACCCGCCUGGGCAUCCAGGCGGUUCGAAAGCUCCGGCGGUGCAGGAUGAGCCCGCGGCCUAUCAGCUUGUUGGUGAGGUAACGGCUCACCAAGGCGACGACGGGUAGCCGGCCUGAGAGGGCGACCGGCCACACUGGGACUGAGACACGGCCCAGACUCCUACGGGAGGCAGCAGUGGGGAAUAUUGCACAAUGGGCGAAAGCCUGAUGCAGCGACGCCGCGUGAGGGAUGACGGCCUUCGGGUUGUAAACCUCUUUCAGCAGGAAAGAAGCGAAAGUGACGGUACCUGCAAAAAAAGCGCCGGCUAACUACGUGCCAGCAGCCGCGGUAAUACGUAGGGCGCGAGCGUUGUCCGGAAUUAUUGGGCGUAAAGAGCUCGUAGGCGGCUUGUCGCGUCGGUUGUGAAAGCCCGGGGGCUUAACCCCGGGUCUGCAUUCGAUACGGGCAGGCUAAGAGUUCGGGUAGGGAAAAUCGGAAUUCCUGGU